GUUUGUUGUUUGUUUACAAAUAUGCAGCGAGAUUCUUCAAAUUAGAAUUCAAUUAUUAUUAAUCAAUUAAUCUGUUUGCGAUUAAAGAACUGUUCAGCGGUAAUGAGAUUUAUUAAUUAGCUAUUUUCUUCGUAAUUGCAAGAAGCGGACCAAACUCCGAAGGCGUGAGUUCAGUAUGGGAUGAAACUGAUAGUGAUUAGUGUGCGCUAAAAAGCCAGAAGUAUUUGUGUGCUUCGUUUAAAUUUUAUUUUGCUCAUUUUUCCUUCGGAAAUCGGCUAGGAGCUGUGGUUACAAGUAGGUUUCGUCACCGGUGAACGGGAUGUGAAGUCGAGGAUUUCAUAAAUAUUACACAGGCAGAAAGCAUCAAUGGAGCCUGGAAGGUCAAGAUGGAUCAGAAAUAAUACAAUGUUUAGCAGCAGCAAGACGAGCCAACGUUAAUUCAAGUUAAACAAAAUUGUAUUGCCAAAACAGUGUGACAAUGGAAUUCAUGGAACAACUUCAGCGCGAGAAAACAGGAUUCCUGGAACCCGAACUAACUCGAGAACUACGGUGGAAAUUCCAAAAAUAUUCAGUGCUAUCGUUUGGAGCGACCGACGGCUUUUUACUCGGGCUAGGUUGUUUUCCACCCGAAAACAUACUAGACUUAACCGAAAAUCAAACUUGUUAACUCUGGAUUCGCAGUCCUGGUUGAAGGCAGAUAGUUUAAGGGCUAAAUAUAUUCAAGGUAAUAUGAAUUAGACGGUUCACAUAAAAUGUAAGCAAUAUGAAAAUUUAUUCUUGUUUUUAUUAACUAUGGAUUCUAUUCACUUUUAAUCUAGCUUUAUUUUUUAUGAAUUUUAAAAUUAUUUAUGA